UAAUACGAAGGGAGCUAGCGUUGUUCGGAAUCACUGGGCGUAAAGCGCACGUAGGCGGAUGUGUCAGUCAGGGGUGAAAUCCCGGAGCUCAACUUCGGAACUGCCCUUGAUACAGCACGUCUUGAGUCCGGAAGAGGUGGGUGGAAUUCCUAGUGUAGAGGUGAAAUUCGUAGAUAUUAGGAAGAACACCGGUGGCGAAGGCGGC
rnacentral:rRNA from 1 species